rnacentral:rRNA from 1 species
GUCCACGCCGUAAACGGUGGGCACUAGGUGUGGGUCACAUUCCACGUGAUCCGUGCCGCAGCUAACGCAUUAAGUGCCCCGCCUGGGGGAGUACGGCCGCAAGGCUAAAACUCAAAGGAAUUGACGGGGGCCCGCACAAGCGGCGGAGCAUGCGGAUUAAUUCGAUGCAACGCGAAGAACCUUACCUGGGUUUGACAUAUGCCGGAAAGCUGCAGAGAUGUGGCCUCCCUUUGGGCCGGUUUACAGGUGGUGCAUGGCUGUCGU